rnacentral:rRNA from 1 species
GUAUGUUACCAGACAACCAUGAGCAUGGCCAAUCUCAUCUGAUCUCAGAAGCUAUGCCGGUUGGACCUAGUUAGCACUUGGAUGGGAAACCACCUGGGAAUGCUAGGUGCUAUAAGCU